rnacentral:lncRNA from 1 species
CUCAGUUGGACUAUACCUUAGCUCGGGGGUCCUCCACUGGGGCGGUUUUGCUCCCGGGGACCCUGGACAAUGUCGGCAGGCCUUUCUGGCUAUUACACCUGCGGAAGGGGUGUCAUUGGCACCUAGAGGAUGGAGGGCAGGGCUGCUGCCGAGCAUCCUGUCAUGCAGGGCUGAGCUCCUGUGCCCUCAUGGAGUUACUCAGCUUUGGUGCUGCCCAGGUCAAGGACCCGGCCUUAGAAGCUUUGAAUCUGGUGGUAGUUUUAAAUGACGUACUUAGAUUUCAGUGAUGACUUAGUCAAGUCAAAGGACUGAAGACACCAUCAGACUUUAUUUUAUUAUAUUUUUAAAUUUUCUUUCUUUCUUUCUUUCUGUCUUUCUGUCUGUCUGUCUUUCUGUCUUUUUGCCUUUUGAGGGCUGCUCCCGAGGCAUAUGGAGGUUCCCAGGCUAGGGGGGUCCAAUCGGAGCUGUUGCCACCGGCCUACACCAGAGCCACAGCAACGUGGGAUCCGAGCUGCGUCUGCGACCCACACCGCUGCUCACGGCAAUGCUGGAUCCUUAAUCCACUGAGCAAGGCCAGGGAUCGAACCCGACACCCCAUGGUUCCUAGUCGGAUUCAUUAACCACUGCGCCACGAUGGGAACUCCUGCACCAAUUUAUAUUCCCCCUACCAGUGUAAGAGGGUUCCCUUUUCUCCAAGCCUCCUCUCCAGCAUUUAUUUGUUGACUUGUUAAUGAUGGCCAUUCCCAUAGGUAUGAGGUGAUACCUCAAUGUAGUUUUGACUUGCAUUUCUCUAAUAAUUAGUGAUGCUGAGCAUUUUUUCAUGCACCUGUUGGCCAUCUGUAUAUCUUAUAUAUAAACUUGUAUAUCAUGUAUAUCAUAUAUCAUUUAUAUGUACCAUGUAUAAUACUUAUAUAAUAUACAUCAUAUACAAUAUUUAUAUAAUAUAUAUAUAAAUUUAUACACAUAUAUAUAAAAACUCAAAACACCCAUCCGACUUUUAAAAGUUCAGAAAUCUUUUCCUCAUCGUACAUUC